GACAGAGGGUGCAAACGUUGCUCGGAAUUACUGGGCGUAAAGCGCGUGUAGGCGGGUCUUUAAGUCAGGGGUGAAAUGCCAAGGCUCAACCUUGGAACUGCCUUUGAUACUGGAGAUCUUGAGUCCGGGAGAGGUGAGUGGAAUUGCGAGUGUAGAGGUGAAAUUCGUAGAUAUUCGCAAGAACACCAGUGGCGAAGGCGGCUCACUGGCCCGGAACUGACGCUGAGACGCGAAAGCGUGGGGAGCAAACAGG
rnacentral:rRNA from 1 species